rnacentral:rRNA from 1 species
GAAACGGAAACUAAAACCGGAUAGGUAAUAGAGAAGCAUUUCUGUAUUAUUAAAGAAGCCUCAAAGCUUUGAACAUGGAUGGACCUGCGGUGCAUUAGCUAGUUGGUAAGGUAACGGCCUACCAAGGCGACGAUGCAUAGCCGACCUGAGAGGGCGAACGGCCACAUUGGGACUGAGACACGGCCCAAACUCCUACGGGAGGCAGCAGUAGGGAAUUUUCGUCAAUGGGGGGAACCCUGAACGAGCAAUGCCGCGUGAGUGAAGACGGUCUUCGGAUUGUAAAGCUCUGUUGUGAGAGAAAAAGGAUAUAUAUAGGAAAUGAUAUGUAUUUGAUGGUAUCUCACCAGAAAGUCACGGCUAACUACGUGCCAGCAGCCGCGGUAAUACGUAGGUGGCGAGCGUUAUCCGGAAUGAUUGGGCGUAAAGGGUACGUAGGCGGCAUGAUAAGUCUGGAGUGAAAGGCUACAGCUCAACUGUAGUAUGCUCUGGAGACUGUCAAGCUAGAGUGCAGAAGAGGGCAAUGGAACUCCAUGUGUAGCGGUAAAAUGCGUAGAUAUAUGGAAGAACACCGGUGGCGAAGGCGGUUGCCUGGUCUGAAACUGACGCUGAAGUACGAAAGCGUGGGGAGCAAAUAGGAUUAGAUACCCUAGUAGUCCACGCCGUAAACGAUGAGAACUAGGUGUUGGGGGAAUAACUCAGUGCC